rnacentral:misc_RNA from 1 species
GAUGAAGAACGCAGCGAAAUGCGAUAAGUAGUGUGAAUUGCAGAAUUCAGUGAAUCAUCUAAUCUUUGAACGCACAUUGCGCCCCUUGGUAUUCCAUGGGGCAUGCCUGUUCGAGCGUCAUUUGUACCUUCAAGCUUUGCUUGGUGUUGGGUGUUUGUCCUGAGGGACUCGCCUUAAAGUAAUUGGCAGCCAGUGUUUGGUUUUGAAGCGCAGCACAAGUCGCGAUUCAAAGCUAUACGCCCGCUUCCACAAGCCUUUUUCACUUUUGACCUCGGAUCAGGUAGGGAUACCCGCUGAACUUAAGCAUAUCAAUAAGCGGAGGA